rnacentral:lncRNA from 1 species
AAGCGCCUACCCAAGCUGGUUCUCCGAGCCUCUUGAGUCUCUUUGCACCAGGCCUGCGCUCCUCUACAGAUCCCGCAGAUCACGGGCACGCAUUCGCCACCCACCGAACAUCGGCUUGAGGUUAGCAUCAGAGGACAUAUUUACUCUGAACAUGAUAUGUUCAGCUUGGUUUUCUGGAUUCUGGAGGUUGAUGUCAAGAAUGUGUAGGAGAAGACCAAUGAACGGGAGGUCACAGGAUUGGAUAAUAAUAAGAAGAGUGAGGAAAUACACAUGAAUGGCAUCAUGGAUCUGGCAAAUCUACCUAAAACCAGCACUGACCCAGGAAUGAGGAGACCUGGAUUCUAGUCUCACAUCAUGUCCCUCUGAGUUUUAUAAUUCUGGGUAAGUCACUUAACUUCCAUGGCCCUCAGGUUUCUUAUUUUUUGAAACUGUACCAGUUGAGUAGGCUUUUUCCAGGUCUCUCUUUCUGUUUCUUCGACUGUUCUUGCAUGCUAAAAUAUAAACAUAUUUGUUAACUGAUAACAGCUUAAAAGGCAUCUGUCUUCAGGGUCAUUUGUAUUGUAAUAGUAUUCAAAACCUUUCAGAAAAGUUCUAACA